rnacentral:rRNA from 1 species
GAUGAACGCUAGCGGCAGGCUUAAUACAUGCAAGUCGAGGGGUAGCAAGAUUGUAGCAAUACAAUUGUUGACGACCGGCAAACGGGUGCGGAACACGUACACAACCUUCCUACAAGUGGGGAAUAGCCCAGAGAAAUUUGGAUUAAUACCCCGUAACAUAGCGAUGUGGCAUCACAUUGCUAUUAUAGCUUCGGCGCUUGUUGAUGGGUGUGCGGCUGAUUAGAUAGUUGGCGGGGUAACGGCCCACCAAGUCUACGAUCAGUAGCUGAUGUGAGAGCAUGAUCAGCCACACGGGGACUGAGACACGGGCCCGACUCCUACGGGAGGCAGCAGUAAGGAAUAUUGGACAAUGGACGCAAGUCUGAUCCAGCCAUGCCGCGUGAAGGAUUAAGGUCCUCUGGAUUGUAAACUUCUUUUAUAAGGGACGAAAAAAGGUCUUUCUAGAUCGUCUGACGGUACCUUAUGAAUAAGCACCGGCUAACUCCGUGCCAGCAGCCGCCGUAACAC